rnacentral:rRNA from 1 species
UACGAAGGGGGCUAGCGUUGCUCGGAAUUACUGGGCGUAAAGCGCACGUAGGCGGCUUUCUAAGUCGGGUGUGAAAGCCCUCAGCUCAACUGAGGAAGUGCGCCCGAAACUGCAGAGCUUGAGUACCGGAGAGGAUGGCGGAAUUCCCGAAGUAGAGGUGAAAUUCGUAGAUAUCGGGAGGAACACCGGUGGCGAAGGCGGCCAUCUGGACGGAUACUGACGCUGAGACGCGAAAGCGUGGGGAGCAAACAGG